rnacentral:rRNA from 1 species
AGUGAACGCUGGCGGUAGGCCUAACACAUGCAAGUCGAACGGCAGCACAGUAAGAGCUUGCUCUUACGGGUGGCGAGUGGCGGACGGGUGAGGAAUACAUCGGAAUCUACUUUUUCGUGGGGGAUAACGUAGGGAAGCUUACGCUAAUACCGCAUACGACCUACGGGUGAAAGCAGGGGAUCUUCGGACCUUGCGCGAUUGAAUGAGCCGAUGUCGGAUUAGCUAGUUGGCGGGGUAAAGGCCCACCAAGGCGACGAUCCGUAGCUGGUCUGAGAGGAUGGUCAGCCACACUGGAACUGAGACACGGUCCAGACUCCUACGGGAGGCAGCAGUGGGGAAUAUUGGACAAUGGGCGCAAGCCUGAUCCAGCCAUACCGCGUGGGUGAAGAAGGCCUUCGGGUUGUAAAGCCCUUUUGUUGGGAAAGAAAAGCAGCAGGUUAAUACCCCGCUGUUCUGACGGUACCCAAAGAAUAAGCACCGGCUAACUUCGUG